rnacentral:snRNA from 1 species
AUUUCUACAUUUCUCGGGCCUUAGUAUCUGUUCUUAUCAAUUUAAUAUCUGAUAUGUGAGUUAUUGGCUCACAUGAUAUUAAUUAACUAAUUAAUUAACUCAAUUUUUUUAGGGGGAAAGGCCCAUCAAGGUAGCUUGCUACCUGGGUCUUUGAGUGUCGCUAUGGUAUUGCACUAUUGCCUUGGCCUGGCACACCUCAC